UACGUAGGGGGCGAGCGUUGUCCGGAUUCAUUGGGCGUAAAGAGCUCGUAGGCGGCUUGGCAAGUCGGGUGUGAAAACUUCAGGCUCAACCUGGAGCGGCCACUCGAUACUGCCAUGGCUUGAGUCCGGUAGGGGACCACGGAAUUCCAAGUGUAGCGGUGAAAUGCGUAGAGAUUUGGAGGAACACCAGUGGCGAAGGCGACUUUCUGGUCUGUAACUGACACUGAGGCGCGAAAGCGUGGGGAGCAAACAGG
rnacentral:rRNA from 1 species